GCGCCAUCCUCUUUUUCCUCAUCUGGCGUUCUACACGGCGGUCCUCCGGCGAGGCACAUCCUGCCGCCUUCUUUCCUGGUGGGAUGCCUCCCGGCGGCUUGGCGGGGAGGAUGCGAACGAGGUGUCGGUGCUUCCGAGCGGCUCAGCGGAGCUCGGGAAGGCCGGCAGCCACGGCGAUUUUCGGACGGAGGAGGCCAGCAGCCGGUCCAGGAUUCCGUGCGCGGGUCUGGCGUCCUCCGUAUUUGCUUCAUCCUAUAGCCACCGCUACUCCUGCGACUUCACCGAGUGGCAAUCUUUUCAUCACUAGAACGAAAAGGAGAGGCCGGAUCCAUGAGCAUCACUGGCAAUACCAAGACGUCAGGAACGGCGCGGCAAUCUGCUACACCAAGUUUUCGUCUGCCAUGGAGCACUGGCGUCGAUGCCUUCAGAUCCGGCCAGCCACAAAAGAUUUGGGGCAACUCCAGGGCCAUGGGCAGGUGGAGCACGAGCUUGGUGGCGAUCCGGCAACCACCUGCGUUCAGUUCGAUCAAGUAAGUCAGGCCGAGCAAGGCAGCCCGUGCUGCUGCUGCUUGAUUUUUUGGGGCGGCGAGCGCACAAGUCGUUUGCGCUGGUGGGUCAUCGCGGUCGGCCGGAGGUGCAGUCACGCUAUGGCCUAUGGUCUUGAUGGGCGGCGGCACGGGCCAGCCCUGAAGAGGGGCUUGAACCUCCAGAACCAUAAGAAACAGAAGUAGAACAAGAUUGUAUGAGUUGUUGUUACCAUCUUUGAUUUAGAGGAGUUCCAAGUUAUCUGACCACUUCGUGAGACAGUGACAGACUUCACCACAGUUUUAUCAGUGAAAAUUCAUGGUGCAAGAAUGCUAUCAAGGUUAGGUCUUUGUUUUGGUUUUUAUUGAAAUAUAUAUGUUGCUUACCCUCCAUAUCAUUUUUAUUUCAAUAAAUCAUUAGCUGAAAGAGUUGGCAUCUAUACUUAUAUUGCUUCUUACUAUUAUUUUGGGGUUCAUUUCUUUUGUCUAAAUAAUUGGCACAUUGUGUGCGUAUUUUCUUGCUCUCAAGUAUUCUCCACAAAGGUGUAAAUUAUAAUGCAUGAUACAAAUGAUAGAAAAUGACAUGUAGUGUAUUUUUUCAGCUUACACUAACUUGCAGCCUAUGUUAUCUCCAAACUUUCAUUUUCUCACUCUUACUGCAUCAACAUGUUUGAGUUAGCUUCUCAAAUUCAGUUACUCUAGCUUUCAUUGUCAAAAAUUUGCUUUAAUUCUGCAAUUAGAUGUUUUUGAUCCAUAGGAUUGUGAAGUUUUUGUUGGAUAUUAUCUCUUGUGUCCUGUAGUGGAAACGAUGAGGACUGUCUUUGGCUCUUCUUCUUUUUUCCCCUAAUGAUCUGAUGUUCCUUGCGUAAAGUGUCGCGGUUUUGGGCGAUCGCGAUUUUCUUUGCAAGGUGUUGCACUGCAUUGUGACCUGGGUUUUCUUUGGUCGGGGUUCGAUUUGCGUCGUCAUCUUGCCGGUAAGUUUUCCUCUUUCCUCUUUUCUGCUUCUUUGCUCAGGUUACUUGGGUGUUGCUUUUGGAUAUAAAAAGAUCCCCCCUGGUGCGCGUUGUUGGACUAGGCUGCUAAUUUUAUGAGUGAUCCAUAUUUUGCUGGCCGUCAUCAAGGUAUCUCUCCUUCUGCCUCGAGUUGGUCUAUUGGCCUUACUGUAAUUCAGACUGUUGUAGAAGGUGCAGAUUUUCAGAGAUAAUGUCUAAGGUUACAGAUUAUUUUUUUCGAAAUGGGGAAGCCCCAGCCCCAGCCUCUGCAUAUGAUUGCAGAUUUGCUUCGCCCCUUGCGGUCAGUUCAUGUACCACAGCACCCCAAUCUUAUUCCAUGUGGACUGGUUUAACAACAAUAGCAAUGAUAGAUUUAAUUCGCUCCCGACGAUGAUCAAUAACUCACCAUGCUGACAAGAUCGUUCUACCAUUGUCAUCUCUAAGGACAGUUACCAGGCUUCACAAUAUUCUUCAAUAGAAUAGCUGCAAGCUUAUUCCAUCCUUCAUGAGAUUUCCUCCAACAUUCCUUUAUUUAUUUUUGCUGUUUAUAAAAUUCAUUGCCGACGAAAACAAUGGACUUUUUUUUCCUUAUUAUGUGAGUCUUUGUUCAAUGUUUUACGUUCCUGAAAACAAGGCUAAGUAUCAUUCCAGAAACAGGGCCAAUUAUUCAGUUCUGCAUUUCGUUUCACCAAGAUAAGAACUAUUUUGUAAGUGCCAACAUCUCCGCCAAAGAGAAGCUUUAAAAUCAGUUUUUGUCCUAGACAAGGUCCAAGGUUAUUUCAAGUGGUGUCAAAGACAUCUAGCUUUUGUACAAACAACUCUGGCAAGAUGAGUAAUCUCCCGGUCCAUCCCACAAGUGAUAAGCUUUCACGUCGUUUGGUGAGUGAUGUGAGCAUAUUAUUGUCUUGCAAAGUGCUUGGCGUAGAAUUAAGCAUUUAGAGUUCUUCAGUUGUAGGCUCUAAGUGAUAAUAUCAUGUUUGCUUUGCAUGCCGUAGUAUAUAUUAGUAGCCAAAAAAUAUUAGAGACACAAGACUGAAUUAAUAACUCAAUCAGUUUUUAUUUUGCAGGGCUAAACGUAGUGCUCUAAACUAUUCAUGAAUUUCUGCUAAAAGUCGGUCUUCCCCAUGCUUUUCUGUUUCCAUGUGUAUCUAUCUCUGAACCUAAUGGAUUCACUUGCACGCAGGUUAGAGGGGCAAUUUACACUGAUUUAUUUAAGGAUGUCUUGCUUGGAGACCAUCAAUGGAACAUAUUCUAUGUCCAUCAGCGGCGGCAGCGGCUCUGCGCAUCAACAACAAUUCAGAUUAGAAUUGCAGAUGAUCUAUCCCCUCUAUUGUUUAGCUCAAGCCAAUCUACAAACUUGCAAGAACCUCUAUCGGCAUCAUUUGUUUCAGGCCAGUAGGAAGAUGUAUGGUCCAGUCAAACCAUGUAAUGUUGUUGUCUGGCCCAGUCCACUGAACCGGCAUAUUCUCCGUAUAAUCCAAUGUGAAUGCCCUUGUCCAUCUAAGUAUCCCUGCUUA